AUUUAGUUUUAUUCUAGCUAUGAUUGUAUUAAAUAUUAUAUUAUUUAUACAUGUAAUUUUAUAAGUAUUGAUUUUUUUCUAAAGGAAAAUAGAUUUAUAUACGCAGUAUAUAAUUUUAUUAUUUAUUAAAUUUAGAUAUAGUAAUUAUAUUUAGAAAGGACAAAUUUUUGUGCCAGCAGUCGCGGUUAUACAAAAUUUUCUAUUUAAUAUUAAAAGUUUCAGUUAAUUUUUUUUUUUAUUAGAUUAUAUUAAUUUUGGUGAAAUAUAUUAUGUUAUGAUAUAAUAUAUAUUUAUCUGAUAAAUUAUUGAUUAAACUAGGAUUAGAUACCCUAUUAUUAAUAAUGUAAAUUAAAUAACUUGAUUAUUAAUAGUUUAAAUCUUUAAAUUCAAAGAAUUUGGCGGUAAUAUAUCUAUUCAGAGGAACCUGUUUCAUAAUUGAUAAUCCACAAUAGAUUAUACUUUAUUAUGGCUUGUAUACCGCUGUCAAGAAUGUUCUAAUAGGAAAAUAUUUUCUUUAUUUUAUAUAAAAAAAAUGUCAGGUCAAGGUGCAGCUUAAUUAUAAAGAAGAAAUGGGUUACAUAUUAAUAUAUCUAAAUUUGGAUUAUUUUUAUAAUAUAAAAUUAUGAAAUCGGAUUUGAUAAUAAAUUUUUUAAAUUAAAUUUAUUGAAACAAGCCCUAUAUUAUGUACAUAUCGCCCGUCACUCUCACUUCAAAGUGAGAUAAGUCGUAACAAAGUAGUUGUACCGGAAGGUGUAUCUAGAAUUAA
rnacentral:ncRNA from 1 species